rnacentral:rRNA from 1 species
AUUGGAGGGCAGUCUGGUGCCAGCAGCCGCGGUAAUUCCAGCUCCAAUAGCGUAUAUUAAAGUUGUUGCAGUUAAAAAGCUCGUAGUUGAAACUUGGGCCUGGCUGGCGGGUCCGCCUCACCGCGUGCACUCGUCCGGCCGGGCCUUCCUUCUGAAGAACCUCAUGCCCUUCACUGGGCGUGCUGGGGAAUCAGGACUUUUACUUUGAAAAAAUUAGAGUGUUCAAAGCAGGCCUUUGCUCGAAUACGUUAGCAUGGAAUAAUAAAAUAGGGCGUGCGUUUCUAUUUUGUUGGUUUCUAGAGACGCCGCAAUGAUUAACAGGAACAGUCGGGGGCAUCAGUAUUCAGUUGUCAGAGGUGAAAUUCUUGGAUUUACUGAAGACUAACUACUGCGAAAGCAUUUGCCAAGGAUGUUUUCAUUAAUCAGUGAACGAAAGUUAGGGGAUCGAAGACGAUCAGAUACCGUCGUAGUCUUAACCGUAAACUAUGCCGACUAGGGAUCGGGCGAUGUUCUUUUUCUGACUCGCUCGGCACCUUACGAGAAAUCAAAGUUUUUGGGUUCUGGGGGGAUUAUGGUCGCAAGGCUGAAACUUAAAGGA